CUGUUAUACACGGUUUCAGAGAUGCUGUGGUUCCAGUCAAGCUCCCCCCACCAUCAUCUACCCGGCCAACAAUGGAACAGACUGGUAGUGAACUCCUGGUCCCUGGAGGCAGCAAAAGAAGCCACUUACCUGAGAAGCCACUUCCUCUUGGAAUCCAGCUGCCAUGCUGGGAGAAUUCUAAGCCACAUGGAGUGGCCAACCAUGUAACUGGGCUCUCAGCCAACAGCAAGCGUCAACUGCCCACCAUAUGAAUGCGCUGUCUUCCAUCCAGCCCUCGAGCCUUCAGAUGACUGCAGCCCUAGCCCCCAUCUGACUGCAGCUGCAGAAAGAAACACUCAACUGGGCACAGUCAACCCCGGAAACAUAAUAAAUUACUGUUUUGUUUUUGUUUUUGAGAUGGGGUCUCACUCUAUCACCCAGGCGGGAGUGCAGUGGUGUGAUAUCG
rnacentral:lncRNA from 10 species